rnacentral:rRNA from 1 species
UGGGGAAUAUUGCACAAUGGGGGAAACCCUGAUGCAGCGACGCCGCGUGAGCGAAGAAGGCCCUCGGGUCGUAAAGCUCUUUUAUAUGGGAAGAUAAUGACGGUACCAUAAGAAAAAGCCCCGGCUAACUACGUGCCAGCAGCCGCGGUAAUACGUAGGGGGCUAGCGUUGUCCGGAAUCACUGGGCGUAAAGGGUUCGCAGGCGGCAAUGCAAGUCAGAUGAAAAGGCAAAGGCUCAACCUUCGUAAGCAUCUGAAACUGUAUAGCUUGAGAAGUGUAGCGGCAAGUGGAAUUUUUAGUGUAGCGGUGAAAUGCGUAGAUAUUAAAAAGAAUACCGGUGGCGAAGGCGACUUGCUGGGCACAAUCUGACGCUGAGGAACGAAAGCGUGGGGAGCAAACAGG